AAGAUUCUAGUAAACAAAUUACAUAGCUCUGUCAGCGCUAAAUUACAAGCUUUAAGCCUGUGAAUCUUA
rnacentral:tRNA from 1 species